AGACAAACAGAUUAUUGUUGCCACCAUAGUAACUAAUGAGUUUUGAUUUGAAAUGCAGGAAUUUUAAGUGCAAGUUUGUCAACACAAC